rnacentral:rRNA from 1 species
GAACGUGUCGUGCCAAAGCUCGUCCUUGUGGCGUGGCUGGGUGCGCGCUUCCUAGCUUCGGGGCUCAGGCCAGCAAUGGUCUCCCGAUCAUUUACUUUGAAAAAAUUAGAGUGUUCAAAGCAGGCGUAACCUUGCCAUUGAAUAUUACAGCAUGGGAUAAUAGAAUAUGACGUUGGUCUUAUUUUGUUGGUUUCUAAGGCUGAUGUA